GGAUUCCUGGUCCACAUGUGAUAUGAGGCAGGGAUGCCCUGUCCUGGGCUGAAGGUAGAAAGGUGCUGAUGUCCCCCAUGGAGAGCAGCCACUGUCUGUGCAUGGUGGAUGUGAGGGAGCCACCAGACUGUGAUCUUGGCUUCAGGGGUCAAUUCACACUCCAUUCAUUACACCAAGGAAGAACACAAAUACCGUUGCUUGGUGCCUCUCAAAAAUCCUUUUGCCUGAAAUACCUGAGGACACUUUUAAAGGUGUGGCAUAUUUUAAAAAGUUAUCUGCCUUCCCUGUGAAGUCUUGCCUGGGUCUCCUGCACAUGUCUCUGGGCAAUGAGUCCAAGUUCCUCAUAUAUGUUUUUCACAGGUCCUAUUUAUCCCUGUGACUCAGUACUGGUGAU
rnacentral:lncRNA from 1 species